rnacentral:lncRNA from 1 species
GUUCUGGAAGCGUCCCUCCGCACCACGGCCUGGAGUCUAGGGAGCCGUCUGCGCACGGGACCGGGAUAGAAACUAGGGAUCGUCUGAGGCGCCCUUCUGGUUUCCUUGGAGAAUCGCAUGCCAAGUGGAGAGGCUCAAGGGCAGAACUAAGGGGCAAAAGCUGGCCCAGUCAGCCCCAGGCCAUCAGGACCUCCUACGUGUUCGGCUGCUUGUGACUGAGAGCCCGGAGACUGCUGAGCCGUUCCUCAGCCUGCUCUGUGCGAGCAGGUUCUGUGGUGCCACAGGAUGAGUGGGCGACGUAUCAUGGAGUCGGCCAGAUGGAGUGCACCUUGGUUUAGCAGAGGCAGCUGCAGGAGAGGGUUUUUGAGGACAUGUAGCUCCACAGGGCCAGUUUCGUCUCACUGAGUCCUGGGUCUGAGGAUGAAGCCCUGCUGUGGACCUUCUGAUGAACAUAAGUGCAUCCUAACCACAACCAGUCAAGAACCCUUCCUGGAUUCUGCCAGCUCUGUGGUCCCUGAUGAAGAUGUAGCUCUCAGCCCUGAUGAUGCAGCUCCCGUGCCCUGCCCGCCCGCCUGCCACUCUACUCCCUGCUAUAUUGUUCAUGGACUUACCCUCUGAAACUAUAGCCAAUCCUCCAAUUAAAUGUUUUCUUCUUU